UGCUCUCCCUGUUCAGCAUUCACAACAGUGGUAUUGAUAUGAUUAUGCAUCCAGUAUUGCGAAAAAAGCACAAACAUUCAAUUAUCGAGGAUCGUAAUGGAUGCCAAGAUGAGUUUCAAAGUGUUUAAAGUGGUUGUGUUCUUCUUGCCGAUUUCUGCAGCUUUGCGGAUACUUGUAACAAAGGAUCAAUGUGGACGUUCGGUCGAUCUCACUGUAGAGAAAGUGCUCUACCUGGACUAUGAAGGAGCGGACCUGGGGGAUAUAUUAUCAUUAUGUGUGAUAAAUGUAACAAAUUAUAACGCUAGGGACAUGAUUUGUAUCCAAAAUGAAGGGACAGCAUAUCUUGAUGUUGACUGUGCGAUGCAUCUUAAAUAUCACAUUGGCGGCUGGAAGCGAUACUCCUACGGAAAAGACCACACUUGUUCAGAUUUCUACUUGAAACCUCUUUGUGAUAGGAACAGUGUUUCGGCUGUCGAAUAUCAGUACGCAUAUAUACAACAAGAUGCUUCAGUUCAUGUGAAAUUGUUUACAAAAAAAUAUGUCGUGACUACUACCAGUCGGUAUACAACGACUUGGUCCUCUUGGACAUCAUGGUCGUCGGAUUAUGAUGAUAAUGAUGAUAACUCAAAUUCUGUCGGCACUGUGGUCGGUGUGAUAGCCGGUAAUAUUUAUUUUUCUCGUGAUUGUGAUAAGUUGUGUUUGUGCAAAGGCUCGUCAAAGUUCAGCUCCCAAACCUCAGUAUGGUGCACCUACCGUAGUACAGUACCAUUCCCAGGUUCAACAGGGGAACCAGUUUGUGAAUCAAACACAUGAUUCCGCAAACCAGGCUACAAAUCCACAGCAAUAUCCGGCGCCGAAUCAGCUUGGUAUCCAGUCGCAGCAACAAUAUACAUCAAAUCCGUCAGCGUAUGCAGGGUACCAAGUACAUAAUCCCGUAUAUCAACACAUACCAGUGGCAGGGGACCAGCCUUCCUUGACCCCGCAAGCUUAUGAUCAGCCCCCUUCAGAGCCUCCGCCUCCAUAUCCGGGAUACUGAGCGGCAGAUGAGUGGUACCGUCAAUGUUACGUUUACCAACUAUGGACAUACAUUUAACUGACUGCCAUUCAGCGAUGUGACAUUAAGGGCAUACAUGAUUUAUAAUGAUGAAUAAGAGCCUGCAACAUUUUCGUUUUUGUCGUGUUUAGCGGUCUGUGGAGUUUCCACUUUUCUAUUUUAUACGAUAUACAUUACAUUGUGAAACAGCCUAUACUGUUGAUCCUCUCUAAACCAAACAACCGCCAAACAUCGAUUUAGAGGGGAUUUUGGUGUACAUUGUAGAUGGUAAUUCGGAUUAGAGGGAUUUCGAAUUGGACGGGAUUUCGAUGUACAUGGGUAUUAGGUUUAGAGGGAUGUUGUCGGCGGAAUAUAUGCUACUUAGUGUAUAAGAAUUGUAUAAUUAUUUUGAAUCAUCCUGUUCUUAUCAAAAUACAAAAGCUUCAAUUUGGGCCAUAUCAGAUACAAGACAGAGCGAAAACGGUCAUGCGUUGUCGAAUUUCCAUAUCUUUAUGAUGAUAUGUGUACGCCGCGCGGUUCGGCCUUGGAGGGCGCUUGUGGUUUCAGAAUAAAGAUAAAAAGAUUGCGUUUUACCAUGCCACUAUUAAAAAUUAGACCUGAACGUGAGUUGCAUAUUCAGACAGCGAUGACUUAAAAUUAGACCUGAUUCAGGAAGCCGUAACCCAAGCAGCGGUUGCUGCUGAAGUCACCAUUUAGAAAUCAGACCUGAACUUACGUGACUGAAACUAUCCGUAAAGGUCGAGCGUAUCUGAGUCGAGUUAUGUUGGGACUAACCUGAAUAUGAGUUAUAAAAUUGUAUGGAGUUGUGCUGGAAAGUGAUUUUCAUGCAAUGAGUAAAGAGAUAAUUGAUAUAUUUUCGAAAUUAUUGCUAUCGACAUAGUUUGUUUUAUAAACAUGAAAUAGUCACGUAGUGACCAGAAAUUAAUUCAAAAUUCUUAAAUUUCCCACCUAAUACAUACUCGACAUUCAUUUUUAUAUAUUCUGAUUUAAAUCCAGUCCAAAUCUAAAUGUUUACCGGUAUGUAGAGAGGCCUUAAAGACAGUUUAGUUAGAGAGGGGACUAUCCCUAAACAUAAUUCUUUUAACAGCCUGAAUGAAAGCUUGUAAGGGCCAGUUGCCUGGUUUGGAUUCAGAUUCUUUCAUAACUUUUUACGCCAUCCUUGAAAUUCUUAUUUUCGUGCAUGCGUUUAUUUAAUUGACAAUGUCUGAUUUCAAAUAAAUUCAUUUCACACAUUUGUUUAAGACUACAUGUAAUCAUUUUUGGCAUUACAAAAAUAAAAACAGAUUUAGAACAUGUUUUAAAAUGCUGGCUUGA
rnacentral:misc_RNA from 1 species